UACGUAGGGUGCGAGCGUUAUUCGGAAUUAUUGGGCGUAAAGGGCGCGUAGGCGGUUCUUCAAGUCUCUCGUGAAAUCCCUCGGCUUAACUGAGGACGUGCGGGAGAUACUGAAGGGCUUGAGUCCGGAAGAGGGUGGUGGAAUUCCCAGUGUAGCGGUGAAAUGCGUAGAUAUUGGGAGGAACACCGGUGGCGAAGGCGGCCACCUGGGCCGGAACUGACGCUGAGGCGCGAAAGCGUGGGGAGCAAACGGG
rnacentral:rRNA from 1 species